AUAUUUUUCAUGUAACAAUUCUUAUCCAAGUGCUGCUAAUCUGUCGUGCAAAUAAUGAAGCUAUUUGGUUGCCUAUUUAGCUAUUCACAAAUCACUGUAAUCUUUGAAACAAUCUUGUCGUUCAUUUGUAUUAAUAUUUGGAUAUUGUGAGUUAAUACUUUAGAAAAAAAUCCAUCAACUCAGCCCCGUUAGCAAAACUGUUUGGAUUCAUAGUUUUUAUAUGUGUUAACAGUAGAAUAAAUUUUGAAGGGGCUAUUUACUACCAAUGACUAAGGGGAAAAUUAUACUGUCACUAUCAUUUGACUUGAACAUUUGUGGUAUUGUAAAAGUCUUGUCAGUUGUGUUCUAAAUUGCUUAAGCCAUACGUUCUCUUAAACAGGAUGUUUUUUUCUUCCUUUCCAGCAGCCUUUUUCUUCUUUGUCUGUUAUGGUUAAUACUCCAUAGAUUUUAGAAAUUGAGAAGUUCUUGAAACAUUUUAUUUUCUUGAGUUCAUCACUUUUGACUCUUGUAUGAGAUGUGAUUUGUCAUAAAAGAUAGCCUUCCACUACUUCACUAAAUGAAUUUCAGAGUAAACACUGUGAUUCUGCAGAGCGGAUUCAGUAGGCUUUCCAAUGUUUUCUCCUGCUAUACAGUGCCUACCACCUUGAGGGCACUUCAGUACUAGAGGAUGAAAACUGAAACGUUGUUUUGAUGUUUAUUGAAUAACGAGAUUAGAGAAUAUUUGAUUUUUGUUGUCAGUGUAUUAAAGAAAUUUUCACAUUGAUAAAUGUUCUCUAGGAAUGUGUCUACAUUCAUCAGGUGUGAACUCUUGUACAUGAAUUUUGUACCUUGAAUCCACAUAUAUAUUAAGUGUAUCAUCAAUAUAAAAAUAAACAUUAUUUGCUUAAA
rnacentral:lncRNA from 1 species